UCUCUGUGAUGAACAAGAAUAUUGAUGACGAGUCCGAAAUCAUAAUCCAUUCCUUUUUCUUCUGACGACAAAUCGAGGCAUUUGUCUGAGAGAA